UACGGAGGGAGCUAGCGUUAUUCGGAAUUACUGGGCGUAAAGCGCACGUAGGCGGCUUUGUAAGUAAGAGGUGAAAGCCCAGAGCUCAACCUCUGGAAUUGCCUUUUAGACUGCAUCGCUUGAAUCAUGGAGAGGUCAGUGGAAUUCCGAGUGUAGAGGUGAAAUUCGUAGAUAUUCGGAAGAACACCAGUGGCGAAGGCGGCUGACUGGACAUGUAUUGACGCUGAGGUGCGAAAGCGUGGGGAGCAAACAGG
rnacentral:rRNA from 1 species